AUUGAACGCUGGCGGCAGGCCUAACACAUGCAAGUCGAGCGGAGCGACGGACGGGUGAGUAAUGACUAGGAAUCUGACUGGCCGUUGGGGCUAGCGUCCGGACACGAGCGCUAAUACCGCACACUAUCAGAUGAGCCUAGGUCGGCUUAGCUAGUUGGUGGGGUAAAGGCCUACCAAGGCGACGUUCCGUAACUGGUCUGAGAGGAGGACCAGUCAAACUGGAACUGAGACACGGUCCAGACUCCUACGGGAGGCAGCAGUGGGGAAUAUUGGACAAUGGGCGAAAGCCUGAUCCAGCCAUGCCGCGUGGUUGAAGAAGGUCUUCGGAUUGUAAAGCACUUUAAGUUGGGAGGCGUUACCAACAGAAUAAGCACCGGCUAACUACGUGCCAGCAGCCGCGGUAAUAC
rnacentral:rRNA from 1 species